GAGUUUGAUCGUGGCUCAGGAUGAACGCUGGCGGCGUGCCUAAUACAUGCAAGUCGAACGCUUCACAUAUGUGAAGAGUGGCGAACGGGUGAGUAAUACAUAAGUAACCUGGCCUUUACAGGGGGAUAACUGUUGGAAACGAUAGCUAAGACCGCAUAGGUGUGAUAACCGCAUGGAGAUGACAUGAAAUAUGCUACGGCAUAGGUAGAGGAUGGACUUAUGGCGCAUUAGCUAGUUGGAGGGGUAACGGCCCACCAAGGCGACGAUGCGUAGCCGACCCCGAGAGGGUGACCGGCCACACUGGGACUGAGACACGGCCCAGACUCCUACGGGAGGCAGCAGUAGGGAAUUUUUCGGCAAUGGGGGAAACCCUGACCGAGCAACGCCGCGUGAAGGAAGAAGUAAUUCGUUAUGUAAACUUCUGUCAUAGAGGAAGAACGGUGCGUGUAGGGAUGACAUGCAAGUGACGGUACUCUAUAAG
rnacentral:rRNA from 1 species